GGAAGCUUAGCCUCACAGCGCCGAUGGUACUGCCCUGGUGACGGGGUGGGAGAGUAGGACGCCGCCGGAC
rnacentral:rRNA from 1 species